rnacentral:rRNA from 1 species
AGUGAACGCUGGCGGUAGGCCUAACACAUGCAAGUCGAACGGCAGCACAGUAAGAGCUUGCUCUUACGGGUGGCGAGUGGCGGACGGGUGAGGAAUACAUCGGAAUCUACUUUUUCGUGGGGGAUAACGUAGGGAAACUUACGCUAAUACCGCAUACGACCUACGGGUGAAAGCAGGGGAUCUUCGGACCUUGCGCGAAUGAAUGAGCCGAUGUCGGAUUAGCUAGUUGGCGGGGUAAAGGCCCACCAAGGCGACGAUCCGUAGCCGGUCUGGGAGGAUGAUCGGCCACACUGGAACUGAGACACGGUCCAGACUCCUACGGGAGGCAGCAGUGGGGAAUAUUGGACAAUGGGCGCAAGCCUGAUCCAGCCAUACCGCGUGGGUGAAGAAGGCCUUCGGGUUGUAAAGACCUUUUGUUGGGAAAGAAAAGCAGCAGGUUAAUACCCAGCUGUUCUGACGGUACCCAAAGAAUAAGCACCGGCUAACUUCGUG